rnacentral:rRNA from 1 species
GACGAACGCUGGCGGCGUGCCUACUACAUGCAAGUAGAACAGUUGCGAACGGGUGAGUAACGCGUAGGUAACUGCCUCAUAGCGGGGGAUAACUAUUGGAAACGAUAGCUAAUACCACAUACUGUGAGAUUGACCUGCGUUGUAUGAGCUAGUUGGUGAGGUAAAGGCUCACCAAGGCGACGAUACAUAGCCGCCCUGAGAGGGUGAGCGGCAACACGGGGACUGUGACACGGCCCAGACUCCUACGGGAGGGAACAGUAGGGACUCUGCGGCAAUGGACUGAAGUCUGACCGAGCAGAGCCGCGUGAGUGAAGAAGGUUUUCGGAUCGAAAAGCUCUGUUGUUAGAGAAGCGGUAACUAACGAGAGAGGGACGGCUAACUACGUGCCAGCAGCCGCGUAAUAC